GGGCCCGUAGCUCAGUGGUUAGAGCAGUGGACUCAUAAUCCAUUGGUCGUAGGUUCGAAUCCUACCGGGCCCAC
rnacentral:tRNA from 1 species